CAGCAGCCGCGGGAAUACGAAGGGGGCUAGCGUUGCUCGGAAUGACUGGGCGUAAAGGGCGCGUAGGCGGUUUUGACAGUCAGAUGUGAAAUUCCUGGGCUUAACCUGGGGGCUGCAUUUGAGACGUCAAGACUAGAGUGUGAGAGAGGGUUGUGGAAUUCCCAGUGUAGAGGUGAAAUUCGUAGAUAUUGGGAAGAACACCGGUGGCGAAGGCGGCAACCUGGCUCAUUACUGACGCUGAGGCGCGAAAGCGUGGGGAGCAAACAGGAUUAGAUACCCCCGUAGUCCCUGUCUCUUAUAC
rnacentral:rRNA from 1 species